rnacentral:lncRNA from 1 species
CUCAUUUGUCCGCUGAGAGUCUAGUUUCCACUUGUCCGUUUUUGCCUGUCUCUUUUCUUCUCUUUGGGGUGAUGUCUCAAGUCCCACACGCCAGUUUUAAAUGAAGAGGGCUUGAGGGGGCACAGCGGCUCAUGAGGUGAAGCUGCCUUGUUCGCAGCACCCCAGCAAGGCCACGUGGUUUGAGUCUGAUGUUUCCAGUGCUCUGAGGGAGACGGGGAAGCUGUUUCCUUUGACUUGUCAAGCUGACUCAUCUUACCGCCAUUGAUGGCUUAUUGGAAAGAAAACCCUAAUUUCAAGACCCUCAGACACUUUCGAAUAAGGGAGGGGUGGCAAGCAUGUGCUGGGACCUCCCACUGUGGACCGCUAACCAGACCUGCUGGAAGACACAGCCCCAUGGAUCUCAAAGUCAUAAGCCAUGUGAAAGAAGCCCAGGGGGUAAGAGCAUUUGCUCCUCUUACAGAGGACCCCUGCUCACAGCACCCAUCCAGGAGACUCACGACCGCUGCCUGUAGCUGGAGGAUGGAGGGUACCCAGUGCUUUCUUCUGCUCUCAGUUGGCAUCUGAACAGGAGUGUAUGCAUACACAGAGACAGGUAUAAGUAGAAAUAAGUCUUUUUAAAAAAAUUUGAAGAGACGGAUCCAGAAAAAUGACCAAGGGUACAUUUUCAAUUAGCUCGUCAGCUGUUUACACAGACUGAGCAGAAGAGGCACAAGAGUUGGCUGUAUCUAGCUGGGACAGAAAGUGCCCUGCACAUGGGUUGUGAUUUGGAGGCUUUGAGGAACUUCCAAGAGGCCAGAGCUGUGUACUCUUUGUUUUUAUUCCAGACAAGAGAAGAAAUGUGAAAAAUACAAGCAAGGGAAUGACAGGGUUGGUUGGGGGUAAGUUCUGAUUUUAAAGGUUUUCUCUCUUUUCUGUGUGGAGAAUGGCCUGGAGGGGGGGCUAGAGUGGAAAUACAGAGACAGUUAGAAGGCCAUGGCCACAGACCCAGAGGUAAGGAUGGAGGAGGGACCAUCCAGAAAGAAGCAAAAAGAUGCAAAAGCAGAGGACAAAGAUGAGGCCUGAACAUCCGUGUAAUCCAAACCUUGCUUAGAGCCCACCUGGUCGAUUGGGACACAUUCUCUUGGGCUGCCCUUCAGCUCAGAGAGAGCCCCUGCAGUGAUGGCACUACACAGUAGAGUGUGUUUAUACUCC